rnacentral:rRNA from 1 species
CAGUAGCCGCGGUAACACGAAGGGGGCUAGCGUUGCUCGGAAUGACUGGGCGUAAAGGGCGCGUAGGCGGCGGCCAAAGUCAGGCGUGAAAUUCCCGGGCUCAACCUGGGGGCUGCGUUUGAUACUUGGUUGCUUGAGUGGGGAAGAGGGUCGUGGAAUUCCCAGUGUAGAGGUGAAAUUCGUAGAUAUUGGGAAGAACACCGGUGGCGAAGGCGGCGACCUGGUCCUUGACUGACGCUGAGGCGCGAAAGCGUGGGGAGCAAACAGGAUUAGAUACCCCCGUAGUCCCUGUCUCUUAUAC